GUUGUAUGGUUAAGUGACUAAGCGUACACGGUGGAUGCCUUGGCAGUCAGAGGCGAUGAAGGACGUAUUAACUUGCGAUAAGCCCAGAUUAGGUAGUAAAAACCAUUUGAGUCUGGGAUUUCCGAAUGGGGAAACCCAAUACCAUAAGGUAUUACUGUUGAGUGAAUACAUAGCUCAA
rnacentral:rRNA from 1 species